UACAGAGGGGGCAAGCGUUAUUCGGAAUUAUUGGGCGUAAAGGGCGCGUAGGCGGCCACUCAAGUGACGGGUGAAAGCCCUCGGCUUAACCGAGGAACUGCCUGUCAGACUGGAUGGCUUGAGACCGGGAGAGGUGAGUGGAAUUCCCAGUGUAGCGGUGAAAUGCGUAGAUAUUGGGAGGAACACCAGUGGCGAAGGCGGCUCACUGGACCGGAACUGACGCUGAGGCGCGAAAGCGUGGGGAGCAAACAGG
rnacentral:rRNA from 1 species